rnacentral:tRNA from 1 species
AUCUAAAUAGUUUAAUAUAAAAUAUUGACUUGUGGUGUCAAUGAUAUGAUAGAUUCAUUUUGGGUU